CCAUCGCCCCCCCUGAGAAUUUGGCGAAAGCGUGUAAAAAAUAUUUAGCUCUCUCUUACUUUAUAUUAUAAAAUAAAUUCCAUAUUAAUCAUAAUCGCUCACGAGAUAUGCCAGUUUAAAUGUAUUUUUUCUCAAUCCCUUAUCCCUUCUGACUGAGACGCAUAUGUUUGGAUGGAACCGCAUCGUUUUCGGUGCGCAUGCCGCAUGCACUGAUGAUGUCCGGUCUAGGCUUAUCCAGUUGAGAAAUGAAAUAGGUGGGCUGAACGGCCGAUCUGAUACGUCUAGUAGUACGGUAGUGCUCACAAUUUAUAUACUGUUAUUCAUAGAACUUAUAUUAACGUGUUAAAAGUGUUUUUUGUGCAACGUCACUCUCAAACGUGUGAAGACCUGGAUAAGGAAUACGAUGUCGAACAAUCGUCUAAGUGGGCUAUGCCUGUUAUCUGUACACAGAAGAAAAAUAAAAGAAAAUAUAGAAAACUUCAUGCAGAAAGUAAUUGAUUUAUUUGCGAUGGACACCAGAAGAAUUCAAUUAUUAUUUAAGUAACAUUUUACUGACACUAACCGUGUUGCGUUUUAAACAGCAAAACAAUUUUUCUUGUA
rnacentral:lncRNA from 1 species